AGGGACGGCUCGUCCACUCCUGUUCUCAGUGCGCUAUCCACGCCCACCUGAUGACUGCUCGCUAUGGUUGUAAGCC
rnacentral:sRNA from 1 species